rnacentral:misc_RNA from 1 species
UUUCCGUAGGUGAACCUGCGGAAGGAUCAUUCAUAAUAAGUGUUUUAUGGCACUUUUUAAAUCCAUAUCCACCUUGUGUGCAAUGUCAGGGUUGAUUUUUCUCUCGAGAGGAUCAGCCCCAAACAUCAACUAUAUCUCAACUCUUUGUCUGAAAAAUAUUAUGAGUAAAACAAUUCAAAAUACAACUUUCAACAACGGAUCUCUUGGCUCUC